UGAGGAAUAUUGCGCAAUGGGCGAAAGCCUGACGCAGCGACACCGCGUGAAGGAUGAAGGUCUUAGGAUUGUAAACUUCUGUUAAGUGAGAAGAAAGAACCACCUCUAAUAUAGGUGGGAGAUGACGUUAUCAUUAUAGAAAGCACCGGCUAACCUCGUGCCAGCAGCCGCGGUAAUACGAGGGGUGCAAGCGUUAUUCGGAAUUACUGGGCGUAAAGGGUGCGUAGACGGUUUUUUAAGUCUUUUGUUUAAUACCUCGGCCUAACUGAGGAUCAGCGAAAGAAACUGAAAAGCUUGAGGAUGGAAGAGAGAAGUGGAAUUCUCGGAGUAGCGGUAAAAUGCGUAGAUCUCGAGAGGAACACCGAUGGCGAAAGCAGCUUCUUGGUCCAUAUCUGACGUUGAGGCACGAAAGCGUGGGGAGCAAACAGG
rnacentral:rRNA from 1 species